rnacentral:rRNA from 1 species
UUUGAUUAUGGCUCCAGAUUGAACAUUGGCAGGAUGCUUCUGCAUGCAAGUCAGGCGGCGCUGGACUUCGGAUCACCGGUGGCGAGUGGCGAACGGGUGAUAAUGUAUCGGAACGUACCUGGUAGCAAGAGGAUAACUACGCGAAAGCGUAGCAACCUGCCUACACCCUUCCGGGAAAGCGGAGGACCCUGCAGGCUGUUUUCAUCGGAAACGACCCGAUAUCGGAUUAGCUAGUUGGUGGGGGUAACGGCUCACAAGGCGACGAUCGUAGCUGGUUUGAGAAGGACGACCAGCCAUAGGACUGAGACACGGCCCAGACUCCUACAGGAGGCAACAGUGGGGAAUUUUGGACAAUGGGAAGCCUGAUCGGAAGCCAUCCCGCGUGUGCGAUGAAGGCCUUCGGAGUUGUAAAGCACUUUUGGCAGGAAAAACGGCACAGGAUAUGCCGUGCAACAGCUGACGUGCCUGCAGAAUAAGCACCGGCUAACUACGUGCCAGCAGCCGCGAUGUCACGUAGGAUGCGGCGUUAAUCAUGCCGGGUAAGCGUGCUGGGCGGACGAAGGAGAAAGAUACGAAAUCCCAGAGCUUAACUUUGGAACUGUUUUAACUACCGAGCUAGAGUGUGUCAGAGGGAGGUGGAACACGUGUAGCAGUGAAGUAAAUAUGUGCGGAGGAACACCGAUGGCGAAGGCAGCCUCCUGGGAUAACGACGUCAUGAAAGCGUGAGGAACCAUUGGGUUAGAUACCCUGGUAGUCACACCUAGAAACGAUGUAUCAAACUAGCUGUUGGAGCCUUCGGGCCUUGGUAGCGCAGCUAACGCUGGUAGAGAUGACCGCCCUGCGAGGAGCGCAGUUAACAAGAUUGAGCUCAGAAUUGACGGGGACCCACUGGCGGUGGAUGAUGUGGAUUAAUUGAUGCGUGAAAACUGCCUUACCUACCCGACAGGCCCAUGUCGCAGAAUCUAAAGAAGAGAUUUGGGAGUGCUCGCAAGAGAACCGGAACACAGGUGCUGCAUAGCUGUCGUCGCUCGUGUGGAUAUUGGGUUAGUCCCGCAACGAGCGCAACCCUUGUCAUUAGUUGCUACGAAGGCAGCUCGUGAGACUGCCGGUGACAAACCGGAGGAAGGUGGGGAUGACGUCAGUCUCACUUGGCCCAUAUGGGUAGGGCUUCCACACGUCAUACAGAAAUGGUCAGUUAAGAGGGUCGCCAACCCGGGGAGCCAAUCGAGCUGAUCGUAGUCCGGAUCGCAGUCUGCAACUCCGACUGCGCGUCGAAUGGAAUCGCUAGUAGCUCGCGGAUCAGCAUGUCUGGGUAGACAGGUCCCGGGUCUUGUACACACCGCCCGUCACAUUCAUGAGUGGGUUUUGCAAGAAGUGGUUAGCCUAACCGCAAGGGGCGGUGCCACGGUAGGAUUCAUGACUGGGGUGAAGUCGUAACCUAAGGUAG